rnacentral:rRNA from 1 species
GACGUAGGGCGCGAGCGUUGUCCGGAUUUAUUGGGCGUAAAGAGCUCGUAGGCGGCUUGUCGCGUCGACUGUGAAAUCCCGCGGCUCAACUGCGGGUCUGCAGCCGAUACGGGCAGGCUAGAGUUCGGUAGGGGAGACUGGAAUUCCUGGUGUAGCGGUGAAAUGCGCAGAUAUCAGGAGGAACACCGGUGGCGAAGGCGGGUCUCUGGGCCACUACUGACGCUGAGAAGCGAAAGCAUGGGGAGCGAACAGG